rnacentral:rRNA from 1 species
UAAGGCCCUUCGGGGUACACGAGCGGCGAACGGGUGAGUAACACGUGGGUGAUCUGCCCUGUACUUCGGGAUAAGCCUGGGAAACUGGGUCUAAUACCGGAUAUGACCCCUGGUUGCAUGACUUUGGGUGGAAAGAUUUAUCGGUGCAGGAUGGGCCCGCGGCCUAUCAGCUUGUUGGUGGGGUAACGGCCUACCAAGGCGACGACGGGUAGCCGACCUGAGAGGGUGACCGGCCACACUGGGACUGAGACACGGCCCAGACUCCUACGGGAGGCAGCAGUGGGGAAUAUUGCACAAUGGGCGAAAGCCUGAUGCAGCGACGCCGCGUGGGGGAUGACGGCCUUCGGGUUGUAAACCCCUUUCGACAGGGACGAAGCGCAAGUGACGGUACCUGUAGAAUAAGCACCGGCCAACUACGUGCCAGCAGCCGCGGUAAUACGUAGGGUGCGAGCGUUGUCCGGAAUUACUGGGCGUAAAGAGCUUGUAGGCGGUCUGUCGCGUCUUCUGUGAAAACUUGGGGCUCAACCUUAAGCUUGCAGGGGAUACGGGCAGACUAGAGUACUUCAGGGGAGACUGGAAUUCCUGGUGUAGCGGUGAAAUGCGCAGAUAUCAGGAGGAACACCGGUGGCGAAGGCGGGUCUCUGGGAAGUAACUGACGCUGAGAAGCGAAAGCAUGGGUAGCAAACAGGAUUAGAUACCCUGG